rnacentral:misc_RNA from 1 species
UCCAGUUUAUCACCGGCAGUUUCCUUAGAGUGCCCAGCUUUACCUGAUGGCAACUAAGGAUGAGGGUUGCGCUCGUUGCGGGACUUAACCCAACAUCUCACGACACGAGCUGACGACAGCCAUGCAGCACCUGUGUGGUACCCAGCCGAACUGCGGAGUCGAUCUCUCGUCUCCUCGGUACCCAUGUCAAGGGCUGGUAAGGUUUUUCGCGUUGCGUCGAAUUAAACCACAUGUUCCACCGCUUGUGCGGGCCCCCGUCAAUUCCUUUAAGUUUUAAUCUUGCGAUCGUACUCCCCAGGCGGAGUGCUUAACGCGUUAACUGCGACACUGAAAGAAUGAACUUCCAACGUCUAGCACUCAUCGUUUAAGGCGUGGACUAC